rnacentral:rRNA from 1 species
UUCAACGCAACCCCAGGUCAGGCGGGGUUACCCGC